GGUGAACGCUGGCGGCGUGCUUAAGACAUGCAAGUCGAACGGGCUCUUCGGAGCCAGUGGCGCACGGGUGAGUAACGCGUAACUGACCUACCCCAAAGUCGCGGAUAACGAUUCGAAAGAAUCGCUAAUACGUGAUGUGCUGUCAGAUCUUGUUCUGCCAGUAAAGCUUUAUUGCUUUGGGAUGGGGUUGCGUUCCAUCAGCUAGUUGGUGGGGUAAAGGCCCACCAAGGCGACGACGGAUAGCCGGCCUGAGAGGGUGGCCGGCCACAGGGGCACUGAGACACGGGUCCCACUCCUACGGGAGGCAGCAGUUAGGAAUCUUCCACAAUGGGCGAAAGCCUGAUGGAGCGACGCCGCGUGAGGGAUGAAGGUCUUCGGAUCGUAAACCUCUGAAUCAGGGACGAAAGACACUUUAUGUGGGAUGACGGUACCUGAGUAAUAGCACCGGCUAACUCCGUGCCAGCCGCCGCGGUAAGAC
rnacentral:rRNA from 1 species